UAAAGAAUUAAGGGCGUAUGGAGGAUGCCUUGACACGAAAGAGCGAAGAAGGUCGUGGCGUGACUGCGAUAAGCUUCGGGGAGCCGUCUAGCGGGCUUUGAUCCGGAGAUGACCGAAUGGGGGAACCCCAUCGAGCAAACCUCGAUGACCCGGCGCAAGCUGGGAGCGUACCUGGCGAAGUGAAACAUCUCAGUAGCCAGAGGAAAAGAAAUCAACAAGAUUCCCUUAGUAGCGGCGAGCGAAAAGGGAUAAGCCUAAACUUUUUUAACGAUUCCAAAGUUAGCAGAACGGCCUUGGAACAGCCGGCCAAAGAAGGUGAUAGCCCUGUAAGCGAAAACUUCUGGAACUUCUGUUUUAUUGCGGCGCAAGCCGCCUUGCUUGAGUAGCCCGGGAUAAGAAUGUCCUGGGUGAAUUUGCCCAUACUACUGGGUAAGGCUAAAUAUCUUUCGUGAUCGAUAGUGAACCAGUACCGUGAGGGAAAGGUGAAAAGCACCCCGGUGAGGGGAGUGAAAUAGCAACUGAAACCAUAUGCCUACAAAGAGCGGAAGUCCUUCGGCGGCAGCAAUGCCGUCUGGGAUGACCGUGUGCCUAUUGAAGAAUGACCCAACGAGUUUAUCCAAAUUGCUCUAUAAGUGCCUCUGGCACGUAUGGAAAGGGAAACCGAGUGUUAAAAGCGCGUAUUAGAACUAAAUAAAAUUUUCUUUAAAAAGAAAGUUUUAAUAGUUCUAGAAGCAGUUUGGGUAAGACCCGAAGCCAGGCGAGCUAACCAUGCCCAGGAUGAAGGUUGUCGAAAGACAACUGGAGGUCCGAACUGGUUGGUAGCGCAAUACCAUCGGAUGAGGUGUGGUUCGUAGUGAAAAGCUUAUCGAGCCUGGUAAUAGCUGGUUCUCCCCGAAAUGCCUUUAGGGGCAGCGGCGGAUUGUAGUUGAGGGGGUAGAGCACUGAUUGGUUUGCCGUGCCCGCAAGGGUAGGCUUACCAAAUAAACUCCGAAUACCUCAGCGUAAUUUCCGCCAGUGAGUAAGCGAGGGCAAAGCUUCGUUUACGCGAGGGAAACAGCCCAGAUCAUCAAUUAAGGUCCCAAAAUCUAUGCUAAGUGAAAAGGAAGUAUUCUGCCUUAGACAGGUAGGAUGUUGGCUUAGAAGCAGCCAUCAUUUAAAAAGUGCGUAAUAGCUUACUACUCGAUUUCGCCGCAAGGCGACGAGGCAGGAUGCGCCGAAAAUUUAUAGGGGCUAAGCAUAGUACCGAAAUUAUGGGUUUGAUGAUUUCGAAAAGGAUUCAUCAAGCGGUAGGGGAGCAUUCUGAUUGCUGUGAAGGUGAACUGUGAAGUUUGCUGGAGCGUUCAGAAGGGAGAAUGUUGGGAUGAGUAACCGCAAGUGGCGUGAAAACCGCCACCGCCGAAAGCCUAAGGUUUCCUCCGCGAUGUCAAUCAUCGGAGGGUUAGGCGUCCCUAAGCGUAACCUAGCUUGCGGGCUAGGGAUCGCGAUGGUGAGCCGGUUAAUAUUCCGGCCCCGCUUACAUAUUCGAAGGAGUGACGGGCUAAAUUAGAUCGAGCGCAUUAUUGGAUUUGACGUCUUUGCUCAUAGAGUGGGAACCAGGCAAAUCCGGUUCCAGCCGAAAGGCGCACUCGAGAGUGAAAGAAAUGGCCGUUAGGCCAGAUUCGAUUGACGAGGGCUCCAAGAAAAGCUUCUAAGAUUAAUAUGUAAGCGCACGUACCGAAAACCGAAACAGGUGGGCUGGUGUAAGUGCACCAAGGCGAACGGGUGAUUAUUGGCUAAGGAACUCGGCAAAAAAGCGGCCGUAAGUUCGCGAUAAGGCCUUCCCCAGCUAACGCAAGUUAGAUGGGGACGCAGCUAAAGACCCUCUGGCGACUGUUUAUCAAAAACACAACUCCGUGCUAAGCCGUAAGGCGCUGUAUACGGGGUGACGCUUGUCCGGUGCCGGAACGUUAACGGUGAAGGUGGCGGGUAGCAAUACCCUCUGCCAACGCCCGAAGCGCCGGUGAACGACGGCAGUAACUAUAACUGUCUAAAAGUAGCAAAAUACCUUGUGGGGUAAGUUCCCACGCGCAUGAAUAGCGGAACGACUGGAGGACUGUCUCAGCCAAUAGCCCGGUGAAAAUGCAAUGUCGGUAAAGAUGCCGACUACCCGCACCUAGACGGAAAGACCCCGGAAGCUUUACUGUAGCUUGGUAUUGGUCUAUGGGUUUUAAUGCGUAGCGUAGUGGGUACACUUUGAAGCGUCUCUCUCGGGAGACGUGGAGUGGCCAAUGAAACACCCAUCUUUAAAAUCUAUAGCUCUAACCGGUGACACCCUAAAAGCGUGAAAUGAAAAUUUCAAAUUUUUAGGGUUUCAUCGAGACAGUGCCUGGCGGGCAGUUUUUGUGGGGCACAAUCCUCCUAAAAGGUAAUGGAGGAGUUCAUCAAGGUUGGCUAGCUCCGGAUGGAAAUCGGAGCGAUAGUGUAAAGGCACAAGCCAGCUUAACUGCAAGGCGGAUAUGCCGCGCAGAUGCGAAAGCAGGACCUAGUGAACCGACCGUGGCUCGUAGGAGCGCGGAAGAUCAUCAGAUAAAAGCUACUCCGGGGAUAACAGGCUGGUACCGCCCGAGCGUCCUUAGCGACGGCGGUGUUCGGCACCUCGAUGUCGGCUCGGCUUAUCCUGGGACUGAAGAAGGCCCCAAGGGUUUGGCUGUUCGCCAAUUAAAAAGCUACGCGAGAGCUGGGUUCAAACCGUCGUGAGACAGGUUGGUCCAUAUCUGGUGCGGGCGUUGAUACUUGAGAGGAGUUGUCCCUAGUUGACGAGAGGACCGGGAUGAACGAACCUCUGGUCUACGAGCUGUCCUGCCAAGGGCAUUGCUCGGUAGCUAUGUUCGGUUCUGAUAAGCGCUGAAAGCAUAUAAGCGCGAAGCAGGCCUCAAGAUUAGGUAUCGUAGAUCCGCAGUAGACUACUGCGUUAAUAGGACUCAGGUGUAAGCACAGUAAUGUGUUGAGCCGAGAGCCACUAAUAGAUC
rnacentral:rRNA from 2 species